UAAAAAUUUAUUUCAGACGGUAAUAAAUGCUGACUCAUUCUGUAUAUAUUAUGUACUUGUGUGUGUGUGUAAAACUUGUUAUACAUACACAUAUAUAGGAAAAUCAAGUACGUCUCGCCGAAGUACGUUCUGCCGUUUUUAAAUCAAAUACACGUGACUAUGUUACAACCUACUGUGUGUGAUGUCUGAUGUGUGUGUGUGUGCGCGAGUGCACGUGUGUGCGUGUGUACUUGAGUUUGGUUGGUUAUGUGCGUGCGUGCGUGCGCGAGUGAACUUGCUCGAAGUUUUCGUCGAGACAGUUUACUGCUUGCUUUCGUCUCUAUCGCGAAACCAGGCCAGAUUGUUUUCCGUCUGUGACGAAUGAUAACGAAUAUCAAGUAAUCAAAGACCGUAAGAGAAUGAGGUGACGAUUUAAUUCGUAAAAAAUUCUUGCAGAAUAGAAUAUUAUUAAAGCAUUUUAACAAAUUUAUUCGUUCAGCUUCCCUGUUUGAUUUUAUUGAUAAGACAUUGAGAAGAUAUUCUUAUUGCUGAAGGUAGAAAUUUUUAUUCAUCGUACAUUCAAUAAACAUUCAAUAUACAUGGAUAGCCAGAAAACUCUAUAUUGUAUCACAUGAUAUUUACUUAUAUUGUAUUUAAUAAUAUUAUCAAACAUUGAUUUACAUUAUAAAACACAUUGUUAAUUUUCCAUUUUUAUAUAACAGAUUACCAAAAAGUUUGUCCAUGAUGAUGUAUUGUCACAGUUAAAAUCUUCUCUCAAGAUAAAAAAAAAUUAAAAUUUAUAGAUAAUACUACCAUCAAUACUAUGCAUUAUCAACAAUAUUUCAAAAUUUUAUGAAUUAAAAAUUUUGUUCUUUUAAAUAAUUUUUUAUGUCAUAGAUCUCCUGUAUGAUUUCAUUAGUGAAACAAAUGAAAAGGACUACCUAAUGAAAACAGCAUUGAAUCUGACAGUGUUUACAGAUUUUGUGAGUGCAAUUUUCUUGGAUGAUUGCUAAAGCACAAUAAAAAUGAAUUCAAGCUUGUUUCAAUUUUUGUGCACAUAUACAUAUAUUCUUCUUUCAUUUUCUAGCUUUUUUAAUCUUUAUUUUAUUUUUAUGUUUUUUUUUCUAGCUCUUUAUUAUGUUAAUUUAAUUAUUUAUUUUUAACUAGUUUUUAUUUAUAAUUAUGUAGUUCCUUCUAAUUUAAGUUCAAUGGACUUAUGUCUAUUUUUCCACAUCUUCUGUUCUUCAACAACUUGUUUCUUUUACAUGUAUAAUAUUUUAAAUUGACUGACAUCAAAGCCAAACCAAUUUAUUCAUCUAGAACCAGUUAAAACAGUAAUAGGAUCUUUCUCUCAACCUGUAAGAUCUUUAGACUGAAAUGAUAUUUUAAAAAUUCAUGAAAAGUUCUUUGUGAUUAUAAAUUUUAUAAUUAUUAUCAGAGUUGCAUUAACUUGUAAACAAGUAUCAAUGAUUAAUAAAAAGAGUAUUAUAAUUAAUUAUUUCAAAAUUGAUCAGAAUUGCAUCAAGAUUAGAUUCAUUUAUAUUCAACAAGAAUAUCGUUUAUAUAAUUUCUAAAUAAAAAUAUUAAAUAUAUGGGUAUUCACAAAAUUCUUUGGACUCUCAGAAAUAAUAUAUGAAUGAUAUAAGAGAAAAGGGUAAUAAAAAAAAGUGCAUAAAUAAUUGAAUAAUUACAUUGUGAACUUUUUCUUUAUUUAUUCAUGUAAUUAACAUAUGUAUACAUUACUAUUUCAAGUUUCGCGCUGAAACGAUGGUCCAUCUCGUGCCAUCUGAUGUGAUAACUAGUACUAUUGUAUCUUCAAUAAUAAAAUCAGUGCACUGUACCCAGUGAGUGAAAUAAUGUUAGCAUACUGUACCAGUCGGACAAUCUCCUUUAUUUUCCCCUAUUGCCUGGAGGGAGGUAUGCAUCCGUCCACUUGAGAGUAAAAUUAUCUCUAGUUGCUCUCGAGAGUAUUUCUUAUUAUUGGAUGUUACGUUUGAGAGUUACUAUCCGAGAGCAAACUCAGCGUUUCUCAACUUUUGUUGUCGUACGACUCAAUACAUUGUUUAAUAACAAUACCAAGACUUACAAAUGUUUGUAAUAUAAAUUUUUAAGAAUACGAUAGAUUCAAAUGACCGUAUAUUUUUUUAAAGAUACAGCUGUUACUUUCGGAAUAUUUAGAAAUCGGCUAUUUACUCGCGAUAAUAUCCUAAAAAAAUUAAAAAAGAUUUUUUAUAUAAAUCAGCUUGCUUCAACGCAAGGUAACAAUUUUCAUUUAUGCGACUGAUUAAAAAUCUA